UAUAUAGUACUUUUUAAAAAAAAAAAACAAAAUAUAGCUCUCAAAAAAAAUUUAAGGACACAUGGUUUUCAGUACUCCUGGGGCAUGCACAUUGGUCAUUUUAUUAGCAGCACCUCCCCCAGUCCCACUGUAUUUUCUAGCUGGUUAUUAGUAAUACAUUUUUUAAAGUUUUUAAAGUUAUUUUCAGUAGAUUAGUUCAUGAUAAAUACAUAUUACCAUAUCAUGUGAUUUUUUUUUCUCCUGUUACUUUACAAACCUUUAUUCUGAGGUAUUUUAGGUGUUUCUAUGACAUGUUCUGCAUUUUCUUCGUGCAUACAUAAGCACUGUUGUCAUAGACAAAGUAUUUACAACUCUAUGUAUCACAUAUCUCUUAAUGGUUCACUUUCUUAACACUACUAAUUGAAUUUAUAAAACACUUGUAAACAGUAAUACUAGAAAUCAACCUCUUAUUACUUUUGUCUUUAAUAUUUCACCAUUAAACAUUCUGGCUGUUAGUAUUACACAUUUUCAUUGCUUUAUCACCUUUUUAUACUUAAGUUUAUAGUCUCAGCAAAUGCCUAUUCAACAUCUACCAGAUAAACAUAUUUCUAUUAAAAUGAAAAAUUGUUUAAAAAUUUUCCUCAAACUUCCUUGGUUUUGUUUUUAGACAGUCUCGUUGUAGCCCCAGCUAGUCUGGAACUCACCAUGCAGACAAGGUUAGCUGAUCUCACAGAGAUUGGCCUGCCUCUGCCUUCUGAGUGCAAUGAUUAAAGACAUGCAAUACCCAGCACAGCUACCUCUUUGCAUUCUUAUGAUGAUCUCUACUUUAUGCUAAUGCUCUAAAUUUAUUUUUAGUGUAUUUUUAUUCUUUGAGAGUUUCAUAUAAGUAUAUACUGUACUUUCAUAAUAUGUUAAUCUCUUAAUGAAAAGCUGAAUGCUAUUUCCUCCUAUCUCCCUUAGAAACUUCAAAAUAUCUCAUGCCAUAUGUGGUGGUGCAUGCCUGUAAUCCCAGCAGUAGGAAGAAGAGGCAGGUGGAUCUCUGUGAGCUCAAGGCCAGACUGGUCUCCACAGCGAAUCCAGGUCAGCUGGGGCUACGGGGAGACCCUGUUUCAAAAAGGACCGCCCCCUAAAAAAAGAAAUCUCAAACUAUCUUUUAUUACAAAAUAGUAUUUUUAUUCACUGAGAACUUCAUGCAAUACGUUUUGAUCAUAUUCACCUCCCUCCCCCAUCUCCUCUCAAAACAUCCACACCUCCCCACACACCCCUGUAGUAUCUUUUUAUAAUUUUAUUUACUUAUUUUUAUGUGUAUGAGUGUUUUGUCUGCAUGGAUGUGAGUGCACAUGUGUGUGCAAUACCCAUGGAGAUCAGAAGAGCGGUGAACUGAAGUUAUGGGCAGCUGUGAGCUACCACGUAGGUUUUGAACCUGGGUGCUUUGCAAGAGCAGCUAGGGCUCUAACUACUGUGCUCUCUCUCCAGACCCACAAAGUAACACCUUACAGAAAUUUUUCAUGCUGUCUUUUCCAAGUAUGAGUGCUUGCAUAUAUAUGUAUAAAGCUCCAGGAAGUUUUAUUCCUUCAGAGUAAAAAAAUGGUUAAUUUAAAUCAGUUUUCCACUUAGUGCUUGAAGGAACCUGUAUAAAUUCUUUACCUUUCUAUGGCUCAGUUUUCUUAAUCAUAAAUAGGAGACACUGAAUUGUUAUGAAGUCUGAGAAAAUUCAGGAGAAUUUUUUUUUAAAUGUUUUAUGUGUAUAACUAUUUUCCCCUUAUAAGUGCAGCAGUGUCAUGCAGUGCCUGCGGAGGCCAGAAGAGGGCAUCAGAUCCUCUGGAACUGGAAUUUCAGGCAAUUGUUAGCCCUGUGGAUGCUGGAAAUGGAACCGAGGUUGUCUGGAAGAACAGCGUGUGCACAUGCCACAUUGGGGCAGAGGUCAGAGAACAACUUUCAGAAGUGGAUUCUCUCCUUCCACCUUGUGGGUCCUGAGGAUUAACCUCGGGUUGUUAGGCCUAGUGGCAAGAGCUUUUACUUACUAAGCCAUCUCACUGGCCCUACUGCUCUUUUUUCAUGUAUUAAAAUUUUUUACACCCAAGAGACUUCAUUUCCACCUUUACAUUCCAACUUUAUUUCAUUUAGAGAAAAUGCUCUGUGAUUCCUUGAGAAUUUGUAUACUCUUUUUCUUGUAAAUGUUCAAGUUAGCACUGAAAAGUAUAACUCUUAUUUGGGGGAAUACAGGUUCUUCACUAUUCUAGUUUACUUGCCUAUCACACAAUAAAAAAGGAAAAAUAAAA